rnacentral:rRNA from 1 species
UACGGGAGGCAGCAGUGGGGAAUAUUGCACAAUGGGCGAAAGCCUGAUGCAGCUAUGCCGCGUGUAUGAAGAAGGCCUUAGGGUUGUAAAGUACUUUCAUCGGGGAGGAAAAAACAAAACUAAUAAGUUUUAUUUCUUGACGUUACCCGAAAAAGAAGCACCGGCUAACUCCGUGCCAGCAGCCGCGGUAAUACGGAGGGUGCUAGCGUUAAUCAGAAUUACUGGGCGUAAAGAGCACGUAGGUGGUUUUUUUAAGUCAGAUGUGAAAUCCCUGGGCUUAACCUGGAACUGCAUUUUGAAACUGAAAUACUAGAGUAUCGUAGAGGGAGGUAGAAUUCUAGGUGUAGCGGUGAAAUGCGUAGAUAUCUGGAGGAAUACCUGUGGCGAAAGCGGCCUCCUAAACGAAUACUGACACUGAGGUGCGAAAGCGUGGGGAGCGAAACAGGGAUUAGAUACC